rnacentral:rRNA from 1 species
AUUGAACGCUGGCGGCAGGCCUAACACAUGCAAGUCGAGCGAGCGGCGGACGGGUGAGUAAUGUCUGGGAAACUGCCUGUUGGUGGGGGAUAACUACUGGAAACGGUAGCUAAUACCGCAUACCAUCAGAUGUGCCCAGAGGGGAUUAGCUAGUAGGUGGGGUAACGGCUCACCUAGGCGACGAUCCCUAGCUGGUCUGAGAGGAUGACAAGCUACACUGGAACUGAGACACGGUCCAGACUCCUACGGGAGGCAGCAGUGGGGGAUAUUGCACAAUGGGCGAAAGCCUGAGACAGCCAUGCCGCGUGUGUGAAGAAGGCCUUCGGGUUGUAAAGCACUUUCAGCGGGGAGGCGUUACCCACAGAAGAAGCACCGGCUAACUCCGUGCCAGCAGCCGCGGUAAUUC